CCCAAGAGAGAUAAUAUAUGAAGUUUCAAGGAAGAAGCAUUCCUUCCCUGAAAUGCAAAGGCCCUUCAUGAGUCUGGGAGAGGUAAAGCAUGGGAAUAGUGCAGCUGUUUCUGGGAACUUGUCUUUUGAAUGGAAAUGCAAAUUAAGAGCUGCCAAGCUGAUUUUUAUCUCCGUGUAUCACCCAUCAUAUUUAUACUGUAUAUGUUUGCUGAUGUUCUUUAUUAUCCCAGUUAACCCUUUUGUUUGCAUUUUAACUGUUUUGUGUCCCAGAUGCUCAUACAAGGAUCAAAUAUUUUGUGAAAGGUAUAACCAUCACAGUAUAAACUGUUGUUUCCCCAAACAGCUUUCCCUCUGUUCUUGGAGAAGGCUCAAAGAAUCCCUGAAGAACUACUUUAGAAUGAGCGUUUUUCAGCGUCAGCUCACAGGGAUAUGGAGGAAGCAGUUCCUGAGACAAAGUACUUCCACAACAGUCACUUUGCAUCUAUACCCAGUGCCUAAAAUCAAGAGGACGCAGAAAUGACAGUUCUAUGCAGUACUAACCAGACUUGCAAUGCUGACACAACACAUGGGGAGAGAAAGAAAGAAAGAUAGAACAGUGAAAAUUGUGUGAAGGCUCUAAGGAUAAGGGAUGCUUUCAAGGUGAAGAUUGAUUCCAGUGGUCUUCCAAACAGACCAUAAAUCAGGAUAGUCGAGAUUGACAACAUUUCAUUGGUAUGAGCAAGAGAAGAGUCAGAUUAUUCUUUGCCAACCUAUAUGACUAUGGAGCACCAUUCUGAUCUUUCUAACUCUCUUACCACUUCACUAUUGAUAUUGUGACAGGAUUUGUAAUACCAUUAGGCUGUGUUGCCAAGAGCAAUUCUUUUAAAGAGUAUGACACCGAAUAUAGGCUCUGGUAAAUGAUGCCUUCAGUUAGAAAGCAUGUGACAGAACACUUCCAGAACCUUUUACAGAGAAUAUGUCUUGACCAAAAAGUGACAAAAGAGAAAAUAGUGCUUAAACCUGUGCAACAGAGCACUGAGACAGAAAAAUCUCUACUGAAAAUGCCUUUUUGUGCAAGAAUUGAUCUCACUGCCAUUUUUAGUAAUGUAAAUCACGAGGAGUCGUUGAAAUCAGGGGGAACUACAGCAGUAUAAAUCAGGUGUCAUAUGAAUAACAAAGUUGUAAGAUAUUGUUAUUGGGUCACUCAGCUCUGCACCAUAGUUUUUAUUUUAGCUCUAACAUUUGUCAGCUUUGCUUGUCCAAGCUAACUCUUAAAAUCAAAAUAUUUUCUGCAGUUUGGCAACAAUGGUUAUUCUGGAUUGGGCAUUCACAGAGCAAGUAACAGAGAAUUUGUCAUAAUGGGUCCAUCUCCUCUUCUACAGCUCCUCUCAUGCUUUAUGUCUCUACUUUAUAUACCCAUAAAACAUCUAACUGACUAUGAAAUGACAGUAAGAAAAAGUAAGAAGUGUUCCCUUUUCAUCAUAUUUCUCUGACACAUGAGAUUUGAUAAUCUGUGUUAUCACAGCUAUAAAUAGCAUUAGCAAGUAUAUUACCGAGCCCCAUUACAUACAAACACAUUAUCUGCCACGGAAAAAUCCAUGGGCUAAUUAUUCUCUGCAUAAAAUAUUUUCUGCUAUUUGUUCUAAAUGCACUGGUCCUAUUGCACUAAGCUGUGAAAUGCAGAAAAUACCCCCAUCACUGUGUUCUGUUCCCACUACUUCCCACUCUUCUCAAACAAAACCAUUCUAGGAUGAGAAUCUCCGUGGUAUGAAGUGGUAAAUGAUCCAAAGGAGUGUCACUUUAUACCUUCUGAAUCUUUACAGUCUUUGAGGUGGUUUGUAUGUAAAUCUUACUGUACAUCUCACUAGCUGUGUCACCUUUUUAUGAGUGCUCACAGACAGUCUAUAUAUCAGUUGUCUUGACCAAAAUUUGGAAUAACAUUUAGAACAUAGAAACAUGGCUCCUGAAAAUGAUCACUGUCAUGUCAUCAUGAUGUCAUGAAAGGAGAACUAAAAUAAAUGAGAACUUCCAGACUUCCAGUUAUUAUACUGGUCUCACUAGAAACUCAGCUUAUUUUCUGUGUUGGUUUUUGGUGGAGUUGUUUUGUUUGAGGUUUUUUGUCUGUCUCUUUGUUUGUUAAAGAAUACUCCACAAAGACAGUGUUAUUUUCUUGAGGUUUUGUUGCUCUGGAAAUUAUUUCGUCCAGUAAUAAUUUAUAAUCUCUGAAAAUAUAUCUCCAAUUGUGAUCCAGUUUCUAUUGUAAUGCUGCAAAUUGAUGAAAUUAACAUUAAUACUGAUGAAAUUUAUAAUGUUUUAUGUGAUUAUUGCUUCACUAAUCACUAUGUAUUCCACUGCUAGCUAUAUGCGAGAUCAUUAAUACACUAUAUGUAUAAACAUUAAGCUUAAUGGAGUUAAAUGAUGAUAUGGAAAGGCAGGAUGGCUAAUUAAUGAUCACACAAACAAUUAGUACUCUUUCUUGAUAAUUCACAAGCUGUUCUAUGAGGAACUGCAGCCUUGCAGAGUAAAAUGCAGUGCAUCUCUUAAUUACAAAUAAGCUAGGGAGUUGUGAAAGCACAGACCACCUUUUAACCUCCUGUUACUAUAGACUGUUUUCAAGCUUCUCAGCAAGAUUCUUCCUGGUGAAAAGGUAAAUUAAAGGAAAACCUUUUCUACUAUCUUUAUUGGUCACCUUUAAGUGAAUAUUUGACUGAUGGGACCUAGUCAAGCUUUACAUUUAAGAGACACUUAAUGAAACAGUACAUCAGUCUUAAAUGGUCCUUAAUUGGUUCGUGUGAUAUGUCUGUGUUGGUACUUAGUGCAGGAUUGAAUUUCACACUAAAGGCUUAUUUCUACUAACCCUUAACUCAUGCUGAGUAUCCCUCUCUCCCUUGUGCAUAGUCUCAUUGAUUUCACACAGAGUAAUAGUCUUUCUCUGUUCCACAAUUCUAAAUGUUUUCCUCCAUAGUUUUUAUAAAAGAACAAGAUCGGUUUUUUCUAGAUCAUUUAAAUCCUUGGAUAGAGCAAAUUAAUUCUAACUUAAUUCUACUAUAUGACAAAUGACUAUGUGAUAAAAAGCAUCUGUAUGAAUUAAAAACAUUAUAUCAACUCUUUCCAUCUCACAUUUAGACUGUAAAAUAACACUUUGUGUCCUCUCAAAUGCAACUGCCAGUAUUUCCCAGAAACAUGAAAUUGGCACAUAACUCCAUAAGUCCUUUACCUAAUAUCACUGUCUGUGGAUCAAAUGUCACUGUCUAUGGAUCAAAUAUCAACUCAUUUUAUUUGCCCUGCAGUUCUCUUAUGACACAAAAUUAAUGGUUUUGAUUUUUGAUUUUUUAAGGAUAGGUUCUCUUGAUUUCUCCACUUACUACUGCUUUUAAGUGACUACCUACAGCUGUAGUAUUGGCCAUAAAAAAUUUCAGUGAGAGCAUUAUCCUACAAAACCUAAAGUCACGGCACAUUUUUCAAGGUAUUUCAACAAAUAUUAACUUUGGGCAAAACUCAAUGGCUUUUUUCUGCUUGGCCUAGUCUUUGAUAUCUCAUAGGUUAGUAGAGCUCCUCUUUUGAGUAUAAGAACUGGCUUUUGUUCAAUGUUUUUAUUUUUUUUACUGAUAACAGAAUUUCAGCUGAUAAAUUCUAAUUUAUUAGAGAGAGCAAGAACAUUUUGUGGUGCUCCUGUACCUUCAAGACAGACUCCAUC